rnacentral:rRNA from 1 species
AGUGAACGCUGGCGGUAGGCCUAACACAUGCAAGUCGAACGGCAGCACAGUAAGAGCUUGCUCUUACGGGUGGCGAGUGGCGGACGGGUGAGGAAUACAUCGGAAUCUACUUUUUCGUGGGGGAUAACGUAGGGAAACUUACGCUAAUACCGCAUACGACCUACGGGUGAAAGCAGGGGAUCUUCGGACCUUGCGCGAUUGAAUGAGCCGAUGUCGGAUUAGCUAGUUGGCGGGGUAAAGGCCCACCAAGGCGACGAUCCGUAGCUGGUCUGAGAGGAUGAUCAGCCACACUGGAACCGAGAACCGGUCCAGACUCCUACGGGAGGCAGCAGUGGGGAAUAUUGGACAAUGGGCGCAAGCCUGAUCCAGCCAUACCGCGUGGGUGAAGAAGGCCUUCGGGUUGUAAAGCCCUUUUGUUGGGAAAGAAAAGCAGCAGGUUAAUACCCCGCUGUUCUGACGGUACCCAAAGAAUAAGCACCGGCUAACUUCGUG